rnacentral:lncRNA from 1 species
UUACUCUUCGACAAAAGGUAAAUGCUUCUUCGAUUUUUCUCUCCGCUCAUACUCACAAUAUCAUCUCUUUCUCAUCUUGAUUAAAUUUUAAUUGCAGAUAAUUUAUCAAUUGGGCUGAAGAAGCCAAGUGCUUGUGUUGGAGAUAACAGAGUUCGUGUCCACGUUUUAUAGUAUAAUUUUAGUAAUAUGAGCCCAUGUCCACAUAUUGUUGUAUAGAUUUAUGGAAUCAAAACAGAGAGUUUGUCCACGUUAUCUACUAUAAACACAUUAACAUCACAUGUCCACACAUUACUCAUCACCCGUCCACACAUUACUCAUCACCCGUCCACAAAUCACCCAACCACACAUCACUCGUCCAC